UUUUUAUGAGAGUUUGAUCCUGGCUCAGGAUGAACGCUGGCGGCGUGCUUAACACAUGCAAGUCGAGCGAAGCGCAUAACCGGAUUUCUUCGGAUUGAAGGUUUUGUGACUGAGCGGCGGACGGGUGAGUAACGCGUGGGGAACCUGCCCUGUACCGGGGGAUAACAGACAGAAAUGUCUGCUAAUACCGCAUAAGCGCACGA
rnacentral:rRNA from 1 species